rnacentral:rRNA from 1 species
CCUACGGGUGGCAGCAGUGAGGAAUAUUGGUCAAUGGACGAGAGUCUGAACCAGCCAAGUAGCGUGAAGGAUGACUGCCCUAUGGGUUGUAAACUUCUUUUAUAUGGGAAUAAAAUGUUCCACGUGUGAGAUUUUGUAUGUACCAUAUGAAUAAGGAUCGGCGAAAUCCGUGCCAGCAGCCGCGGUAAUACGGAGGGUCCGAGCGUUAUCCGGAUUUAUGGGGUUUAAAGGGAGCGUAGGUGGUUGGUUAAGUCAGUUGUGAAAGUUUGCGGCUCAACCGUAAAAUUGCAGUUGAUACUGGCAGUCGUGAGUACAGUAGAGGGGGGCAGAAUUCGAUGUGUAGCGGUGAAAUGCUUAGAGAUGACGAAGAAUUCCGAUUGCGAAGGCAGUUCACUGGACUACAACUGACACUGAGGCGCGAAAGUGUGGGUAGCAAACAGGAUUAGAUACCCGAGUAGUC